UACGGGGGGGGCAAGCGUUGUUCGGAAUUACUGGGCGUAAAGGGCUCGUAGGUUGCCAACUAAGUCAGACGUGAAAUCCCUCAGCUUAACUGGGGAACUGCGUCUGAUACUGGAUGGCUUGAGUUUGGGAGAGGGAUGCGGAAUUCCAGGUGUAGCGGUGAAAUGCGUAGAUAUCAGGAGGAACACCCGUGGCGAAGGCGGCUCUCUGGGUCCGCCCUGACGCUGAGGCGCGAAAGCGUGGGGAGCGUACGGG
rnacentral:rRNA from 1 species